rnacentral:sRNA from 1 species
AUAUCUCUCCGUACGGGAAGGAUGAGAAGCUUCGACUAAGGUUCGAUUCGAGCGAAAGCGAGAAAGCGUUGCCA